rnacentral:piRNA from 1 species
CACGUGCAAGAAGUAUCAUGUGACAUG